GAGUUUGAUCCUGGCUCAGAACGAACGCUGGCGGCGUGCCUAACACAUGCAAGUCGAACGUGAUCCAGAGCUUGCUCUGGUGAAAGUGGCGCACGGGUGAGUAACGCGUGGAUAACCUACCCUGGUAUCCGGGAUAACAUUCCGAAAGGGGUGCUAAUACCGGAUAAGCCCACGGGCUCUUUGGAGCUUGCGGGAAAAGGUGGCCUCUAUUUAUAAGCUACUGUAUCAGGAUGGGUCCGCGUACCAUUAGCUAGUUGGCGGUGUAACGGACCACCAAGGCGACGAUGGUUAGCUGGUCUGAGAGGAUGAUCAGCCACACUGGAACUGAGACMCGGUCCAGACUCCUACGGGAGGCAGCAGUGGGGAAUUUUGCGCAAUGGGGGAAACCCUGASGCAGCAACGCCGCGUGAGUGAUGAAGGCCUUUGGGUCGUAAAGCUCUGUCAGAGGGGAAGAAAUGAUAUAGUGCUAAUACCACUUUAUCUUGACGGUACCCUCAAAGGAAGCACCGGCUAACUCCGUGCCAGCAGCCGCGGUAAUAC
rnacentral:rRNA from 1 species